rnacentral:rRNA from 1 species
UACGUAGGCAGCAAGCGUUGUUCGGAGUUACUGGGCGUAAAGGGUGCGUAGGCGGCUUCUUAAGUCUGGUGUGAAAUCUCCCGGCUCAACUGGGAGGGUGCGCCGGAUACUGAGGGGCUAGAGUGUGGGAGAGGAAAGUGGAAUUCCUGGUGUAGCGGUGAAAUGCGUAGAUAUCGUUGGAACGCCAAUGGUGAAACAGGUUGGCUGGGAGUGUGCUGACGCUGAGACACGAAGGCCAGGGGAGCAAACGGG